AUCUGGUCACAGAGCUUGUCAGGGUGACCCUCGUUCACAGACUCAGAUGUAAAUAGAAAGGUCUCCAUUCUCCCAAACUGCAAGGAAAAGAAUACACAAAAAAAUCUCCUUCAAAUGAUUUAAGAGAGAAGC